rfam:Hordeum vulgare subsp. vulgare, WGS project CAJW01000000 data, contig: morex_contig_1536376
UUGAAAGAGUCGGUCUUGAAAACCGAAGUAUUGAUAGGAAUACCGGGGGUUCGAAUCCCUCUCCAUCCG